AUUGAACGCUGGCGGAAUGCUUUACACAUGCAAGUCGAACGGCAGCACGGACUUCGGUCUGGUGGCGAGUGGCGAACGGGUGAGUAAUACAUCGGAACGUGCCCAAUCGUGGGGGAUAACGUAGCGAAAGCUACGCUAAUAUCGCAUACGAUCUAAGGAUGAAAGCGGGGGAUCGCAAGACCUCGCGCGAUUGGAGCGGCCGAUGGGAGAUUAGGUAGUUGGUAGGGUAAAGGACUACCAAGCCGACGCUCUGUAGCUGGUCUGAGAGGAUGAGCAGACACACUGGGACUGAGACACGGCCCAGACUCCUACGGGAGGCAGCAGUGGGGAAUUUUGGACAAUGGACGCAAGUCUGAUCCAGCCAUUCCGCGUGCAGGAUGAAGGCCCUCGGGUUGUAAACUGCUUUUGUACAGAACGAAAAGGCUCUGGUUAAUACCUAGGGCUCAUGACGGUACUGUAAGAAUAAGCACCGGCUAACUACGUGCCAGCAGCCGCGGUAAGAC
rnacentral:rRNA from 1 species